UACAUAAAACAUCAUCACAUAAAACAAAAUUUAAAAUUUUUCAUAAAAUGUAGUUUCUUGAAUUUUGAUCAAUUUUUUCACAAACGAUGGUGAAGAUUAAUAACCCUUUUGGUUAAAUUUCUUUCCAAAGAAGAAAAAAGCAUUAGGCUUAUUUUGUAACUUGGUAUUUUGUUGUGCUUUUAUUCCUUAACUUUUAUAUCUUAAUAAAGUUCACUAAGUAUAAUUUGAGAAAAUCACUAAUAAGAAAUAUGACUCGAAAUGUGCUAUCUUGAUCAUAAAACAAUUAGCAAUUCUUAGCAAAAGUUGUUCUUAUAACAAAAAAAAAACAACCGUAAAACUACGGAAGUAAAUUUCUUAAUAGUUCAUUCCUAUCUUAAACUCUUAGUACGUCCGGCUUUUAAGGACCACUGCAGUAUUUUGCUUAAUUUAAGCUCUUUUCACCAGUCGAGGAUAUGCCACAGUUUAGGUGUCAUAGAAAUUAGCUUUUUAAAGUAAUUUUACCCUUCCACAUAAAAUGUUUCCUAGUCCAUUAGUUUGGUCUUCCAGAGGAAUAUAAUUAUGUUGCUGUUGGAGCGCAUCCCAAUAUUACAAACUAUCCAUGUACGUCCGGCCUUUAAGGACCUCUGCAGUAUUUUUGCUUAAUUUAAGCUUCUUUCACCAGUUGAGGACAUGACACCGAUAAGGUGUCAUCGAAAUUAGCAUUUAGUAUUAAGCCAAAAAUACCCUACACCAUUGAGAGGGUUUUUAUUCAAUAGUUUGCUUUCGAAGUUUAAGAAAGGAAAUAUCUUUGUUUUAUGUAGUGAUAGACUUUGGUGCUCACAUGGAGUUGGUGGCGCUUUGGCCUUUCAUUGCUACCAUUUUCAUAUAGAGAGUUGUGUAGCGAACACGUUGAAGCUCUAAUAUGUUUAUUAGGAGAACUGCACUACACGUUUACAUACACACAGUGUUCACAAGAUGAGUGGCGAAGCGUGAGAAUAGAGAGGGAGAAUAGAUAGGGAGAAUGGAGAGGGAGAAUAAAGAGGAAGAAUAGAAAGGGAGAAUAGAGAGGGAGAAUAGAGAGGGAGAGUAGCUGCUAUCCAAUAGCAAGUAGAGGAGACCACGGAGUGGUCGACGACCGGCGGCUGGCUGCUGACGGACUGUUGGCUGGACUCUGCUUCCGGUGGCUGCUGGUGACUGCUCUGCGGUUGUUGCUGCUGCUACUGUCGAUGCUACUACUACUGGCGAGGAUGUCGUGGCUGCUGGGUUAUAUACCAGCAGCGUAGCCGGUGUAAUUUGGAGAUGUCUCCAAAUUACACGGUGAUUGAGGGAAAUUGGAUCAGGGGAAAAGGUACCCCGAAAGGUUUGACAGGAGGGUAAUAAGAAUACGUAUGGGCAAUAAUGAGGUGAGUGAUGGGUCUGACUCGGCAGAGUCAGAGAUAUUUAAUUGUAGAUUGAUUAGCUGAUGUAAAAGCUGAGGUUGCGGAAAAGGGAAAGCGAUGUGGGAAAGGAUCAAUAGUUUAAAAUACAUUACAAGUACGUUUGAAGGUGUUGCUCUCCGAGGUUUCUAUUGCUUAGAAUAGCUUUCGAAAAGGGACAUUCAAGCGUAGAUGAGUACUUUUUAAAACGGUUUCUUUAGACUUUUUUAGUUUUAGUAGUAUUUGCACAAUAUUUGUUUUUUACAACCUUUCUAGUCCUUUGAUGAUGGGGUGAGUAUUUAGCGUCACCGGAUCUGUAUUGGAGAGCUGCUCAAAGUGUCAGCAUUUCCAGUAGGGUAUAAAGUGGUGAUGUCGUUUGAUGCAAGGAUCAUCUUUAUCCAAGACUUUUUCUACGAAAUGUGGUCGAAAUAAAUGGGUAUACUUGUUCCAUAUCGUGUGCAUGAAAGGUGGGGACUGCGUGGGAGAGGUUUAUAAAUUCUUUAGGUUUUAAAAUAGAAACUGCGUCGACGCCGUAUUGGUAGGCAUCCAUGUUCUAGAAUGAGAUGUCCUAGAAUUGGUGAAGGCGUAAGUUUAUCCUUUAACGUGUUUUAAAGGUUUCUGAGUUUGAAAUCAAAUCUUUUAAAUUCAAAUCUUUUAAAUAGAAAUUUUCAUUACAUUCGCAAGUCCAAUGCGUCAAUAUUCUUUGGUACUGGGUAUUCCCUUUUUGGUUCUGAAGAUUCGGCCUUGUCCCGAGGUAAAACUUUUGUUUUAGCUCUAUAUUUUUUGUUGUAUCGUGGAGUUGAAUAAAUUAAGGAAGUGGGGGUUAGGGGAGUCAUGCUGUUGAAAAGCUAAAAGUUUUUUUUCACUUGGUCUACAUUGAAGGGUUGUAAAUUCUGGGUAUAACGUUAAGUGGGUUGGUUUCCGAGAGACGUACCUAUUACUGAAUAGGUCUCGGAGAGAUAUAUUAUUCCAGUUUGUGGUUUCAUAAUAGUCAUAAUAUUUUCGUUACCGGGCGUUUGGGACCAAGAUAUAAGUAAAAGAGGUUAAGAAAGGGCUCACAAAAAGAAAGGAGAACGUUUUUAGGCGUGCAGAAGAAUUAUAAACGUAGUUACGGGGAAGAAACAGUUUGAAGAAAAAUUGAAGGGAUGGGAUAAAUUAGGAUGUGAAACUUAGGAGUGCAAGUGCUAGAGCUAUUCUUUAAGGACAUUCAUUUUUAUUUUUCUCUACUGUAAAGGUCUUUUCUCAUGAUUGUUUACUUUCUUGGGUUUGGUUUGGCUAGUAAAUUUUACAGUUUGGAUGGAUGUGAGUUUUUCGUAAGUUGUUGAUAUUUCUUUAUCGAUGAGAGAAAGCAUGCCUUAGUUUUUUUUGAGUGGUUGAAAUAAAGUUGAGUCAGUGUGGAGAUUACAAGAUGAUUCGAGCUGCGUUGGGCGGUAUAAUGAGGUUGUGUCUAGGUGUCGGGCUGAGUUGGGCUCUGGAGCGUAGUAGUGGUAGGGUCGUGGAUCGAGCUGAGGUUGGGUGCCAGAUGUAAGAGUGGGAGAAACGUCUUCUGUAUGAACUGUAUUGACACCGAUACACAAGCAAGAGGGAGAGUAGAGGGGGAGAACUGAGAGGGAGGAUAGAGACGAAGAAUGGAGAGGGAGAACGGCGGCUAGUGGCGAAGACCGGAAGCGAACGGAGGAGACCACGGAGCGGUCGACAACUGGCGGCUGAUUGCUGGCUGCGGCUGGUAGCGACUAUGACUGGGUUUUGUCUCGACUCUCGAGGAUGUUGUCCUUGUAGGGGCUUUUAUACUAGUUGCGUAGCCGGUGUAAUUUGGAGAUAGCUCCAAAUUACACGGUGAUUGGACAAGGAAAAGGGCACCCCGAAAUGUUUGACAGGAGGGCAAUAAGAAUACAUAUAGGUGAUAAUAAGAUGGCAGAUGGAUCUGACUCGGCAGAGUCAGGGUUGUUCUAUAUAUCUAAUUAUAGAUUGUUUGAUUGGUGAGGGAAGCUGAGGUUGCGGAAAAAAGGUAAAAGCAAUGUCAGGGGAAAAGAUCAAUACGUUACAUCAGGUAAAGAAAAGAAAAUACGAAAAUGUCCUGCAAUUGAUAAAAGAGUAUUGCCUUCUGUGGUCAGUUUAGCAAUAUAAAAAAUUAAUUCAUAAACAUAUUAUGGUUUCAAAGAAGUGAAGAUGACAUCUAAUAUAACACUUAAUUCAGCAUGUAGAGAGUAUUUCAGAGAGCGUUCACUUGUAUUGACACUGAGCACAUACACACACUUACACAAGCACUUCACUGACAGGAAGAGAGGAGAGGGAGAAUAGAGGGAGAGUAGCAGGAGAGAAUAGCGAGGGAGAAUAGAGAGAGAGAGUAGCAAGGUAGAAUAGAGAGGGAGAGUAGCUGCUGUUGAACAGCAGGAGGAGGAGACCACGGGGGUGGUCGAAGAUCGGCGGCUCGGCUGGCUGACGGACUGUCGGCUGUUGCUGCUGCUGUUGUCUCUGCUGCUCCUGAUGCUACCGGCUACGGACUGCUACUGACUUGCGAGGAUGCCUUGGCUGCUGGGUUAAAUACUAGCGUGUAACCGAUGUAAUUUGGAGAUGCCUCUAAAUUACAUGGUCAUUGGCGGGAAAUUGGAUGAAGGGAAAAGGUACCCCGAAAGAUUUGACAGUAAGGCAAUAGGGAUAUGUAUGGGUAAUAAUGAGGUGAGUGAUGGGGUCUGACUCGGCAGAGUCAGGAUUGUUCCAGAUGUCUAGUUAUAGAUAGGUAAGGGAAGCUGAGGUUGCGGAAAAGGGAAAGCGAUGUGGGAGGAGAAGAUCAAUAGUUGAAAAUACAUUACACAGCACCUGUGUCUAAUAAUGCAAAAGUGAGCAAACAUUUCCCAUUGAAAUGUGAAGCUUAAUAGAAUUAAAGUUGUGCUUAUCAUCUCAUCAUCUAAGAAUAUUAUCGGUUGAUUAUGGCGUUUGGUUAUGAAUGGGUUGAUUAUGAAUUGAUUUUGAAAAUGACUUUUUUUUUUCAUUCUCAUUUUUCUCGUUUGAUGUUUAAUCAUGCUUCACUAAGCAGUUUCAAAGUUGUGUGCAGAAGUAGAUGCGGUUUUAGAUUGGUGUCUGAUUUAAUGAUUAUAUCGUCUAAAUAAACAAUGAUUAAUUCUUUCCAUUCUUUAUAUCCAGUAAUAAAAAUAUGGUUUUCGAUAUCUCCUGAAAGUUUUUGAAAGGGCAAAGCUUAUUCUGUAAAACGAUCACACAAAUAUCUUUUUUUGUCUUAGUAGGUUUUUAGUAGUUUUAGUAGUUAUUUUUUUAGUCUAAUUUCAGCUUUAGCGAAUCGUCUAGCUUGUUGGAACCAAUCAGUAACGGAGAUAUGUCACCAAGGAAUCCACUAAAAUUCUUACUUCCACUCUUGAGAGGAAUGGCUACAAUUAAUUUUUAUUCCAUUUUCGAAAAGCAAAGGUUUCAUUCAGCAGUUCUAUUAUUCUUAUUGGGUUACCGUUACAAUUCUCGUAUCUAGUGGGGUUUUGCGUUGAUCAUUGCUAAUUCCUGACACAAGCUAUACUGUAUCUCCCUUUAAACAAAACUUAAUCUCUUGCUUUGUGCAACCCAAAUUAAAUGGUUUAAAUAGAGAUUAGGCAAUGAAUAUAUGCUUGUCGUUCAGAUAUGUUUACCCACACACUACAAACAAAUUCUUAAACUUGUUAGCUUUUGUCAAAUGAAAAAAUCAAAAUUUUUUAUUUUUCACGUACUCUUCUAAUAUUUUUUCCUCUUUUACCAAUACCCGUAUAAUGAUAAAAUUAGAGAACUUCUUUUGAACAGUAAAAAAUCCCAAAAGGAUCUUUAAACCAAACUAUUCCACACAGUAAAUUAAAAAAAAUUAACAUAUCAUUCCCAAUAUGAAACAAAUUUAAACGUUUUUCUGAACCAAUUCAUUCAGCGCCUUUUUUUUUAUUCUAAGAAAAUCUACAAAAAAUUGCCCAUUAAUUAACAACCUACUCCAAACAACUUCCCUCCCCUCCGCUUGUCUCUUGCGAAAUGUCAAUCUGUAUCCUCUACAAAACCACGUUAACUGGUUAUCGUUGGAAUUCGUCGGAUCACCCCGCGUCUUCUCUAAGAGAUUUCAUUCUCAGACGGAUUUGAAAAAAAACUAGGAAACGGCGAAAUCAAAGGACGCUAGAAAAACUACGCAUCGUCAGUCCAGAUUCCUGCGGAUAAGAAAUAUCUCCUGGCACGACCUGGCCUUUGAUACAACGGUGUGAAAUUACGUAUUUCUUUCGACUCCGCUGCCUCUUUCAAGGGAAAGUCUCAAAAUGACAUUACGCUAAGUGGCCCUGCACUUCAACUCGCAUUGGUAGUUGUCGUCACCCCCUUCCGCCAAUAUGAGGUCGCUUGGGCCUCGGCUAUCGAAGCCAUGUUAAGCCGCUUCCUGUUGUCUGCAGAAGACAGUAAUUCUGUUUCCUGAGGCGGGAACCAAAUUUGUUGGAAUCAGAGGUCUACAAAAUGGAUCAGCUGUAUUUCUGCGCAAGCUGUUCGCCCUUCGCCACAAUCCACACGAUGCAACGAAUUAUGGAAGAUGUUAGGAACGAUAAAAUGACCGUUGUUGUAUGUGAGAGGAAAUAUGUUGACGAUUACUUAAGCUCUGCUUCUACUGCAACUAAAGCCGUCCUGUAAGCAACUAUCAUGUAGGCUAGGUUGGCCGAGGCCGAUGCUGCCGCCGAUGCUGAUAGAGCUAGGAGACCUCCUCAGAUACUUUUGGAUUCAAGAUCGUCAAGUUAUCCUAAAGACGAGACAACACUGAUGAAGCUGGUCAGCUGACUAGCUGGAGUGUUUAAAGCUUUUUUUAAUGUAUUACCCAUCAUCGUGAAAGCGUUCAACAAGCUAGCACCGAAGAAAAAAAUCUCGGAACCAAGAUUGAAGUUAUGGCGGCGUGCCGUGGAUGGACUUGCCAGCAGAUGCACACACCACACUUUAAUGGGACAAACGUGUCGUUAGUCAAAUAAACAAAACGAGCUCUUUAUAAUACAAUUGAAUUUGAGUGUAACAGUCUACUCUACCCCUUCGUGAAGCCUCUGGUACACACGGCCUGCUGAAUACUAGUAGCUUCCUCUUCUCAGCUUCCUCACGCGAAAUGACUUUCUCAAUCGGUUGCCCACCACCUAUGGAGAUGAUGGUAUUAAUAUAGAUGAAUCUAUAGAGGAACAUUUUCCAUUGCUUCUUUCUCCGUAUGUUGCGAGAUAUGAAGACCUUGUUGUUGCAAUUGCAGCAAAAGGAAUUUUCAUUAUUUAUGAAUACGAUUUUGUAUUACUUGGCUUCAACUGCAAGAACGUACCCGAUGUCUUGUUGAGUGAAAACACUUCGUUGUUGAUCGUGAACGAACUUGAAGAUUUCAUAUCAUCACCCACCGACAUAUGUCUGCGCUUGAUGCCCAUACCAGAGGAGGUAGUUAAUGGCCGCGGUCUCCUUCAAUUCCAGCACAGCAAGUUUCAUGUUUUCCGGCACGAUGUGUCCAAACAGACGAGGGGCACCCGAAUGAAGGGAUUUUUUUACACAUUGUUUUUUCAUAUUUGUCGUUGCGUUUUUCCUCCUCUCUUUCUCUACCCUUUCGAAAAAGAAUAUAAAAGAUCACCACAGUUUUUUUAUACACCAACACCCACCCAAACUAUGGGCAUCCGUCGUGUGUUAUACUGCUGUUCUGUCGGCAGAGCGUCUUUCGUGACGAUCCGGCAUAUUCCCUUCCGCUUCCGCACCGCUCACUCAACAAAAAAUAAUAAUAAAAAGAGCGCUGGAUGUAUAUGGACAAAAUGGCCUUCCUCCCAUGCAUAUAUGUUGUCUCUUGCUGCUGCUGCUACUGCUACUACAGUCCCGGCUUGCCUUUUCUUUCUCUCGCCAGUUGGGUCGGACACCGUCAAAAAUCGAUGCUGUAUGCAGAGACAAAACAAGGGAUCGUUGUCAUGCCAAUGUGCAGCCGUGAGAGGCUACCUUCGAUCGACCGAUACCGCUUCUCCCUCGUUAUCCUUUUGUUAUCCGGAUGUAGAUCUGCACGAAGUGUGCACUGCAUCUUUUCGAUGAUUUCUUUUUUAAGGAAUGACAGGGACCAUGCCGAGAGAGGCUUGUGACAACAACUGUUGUUGUUUCUUUGAUGACCUUUUGACCUUGAUGUUUUUUCCUCUUUGUUUUCCAAAUGACACUGUUUUGAUUCCUCUGAUUGAUGUAAAAACUUUGCAUUAAAAAAAAUAACUAUAACACCAAAAAGCGGGAAAAGGGAAACAAGAAAUGAAUAAUAAUAAUAACAAACAUAACAAAACUCAAAACUCUCCUCAUAUGGGAUAGACAUCUAGAUAUGCUAUAGACCUCUUUUUUGUUUUUUUUUGUUUUGUGAGUCGUGAAAUCCGCCCUACACACCGACUGGGGGCUGUCUGUCUAUUUAGUUUUGUUUCUUCGGUGGGGGGCUGCACUUGACUUGUGGUGGCUGUUGUUCCACUCCAUUCAUUCGGCAAUCCGAUUUCAAUUUUUUUGUGUGUGAAAUGUAAUCGGCGGCGGACAAGAAAGCAAAAGAAUGCCGCGAAGAAGACGAAAAGGAUGCCAUCACAACAACCAUGGACGUGUUUUUUUUGUAAAGAAGGACAGCACUCCUAUAAGGACUGUAAAGUUCGAAAGACUUGGUUGGCUUCUGGAAACGAGAUGUCCUUUCGGGAUCAUCUUGCAAGUGUCCAACGUAAAGAAAAAUCAGCAAAGACAACUUUUGUAGAGCUGGCAGUAAAGCCUUCAGUUGCCCAAGCAUUUGUAAACAAGUGGAAUAGAAAAUGCCGACUUAACAACACCAAUUUCGUGAUGCUCACGUCUCACUUACCAACCAUCCACAAGAAAACCAAGGAAGCUAAGGACGAAAUGAUUGCUUAUCGUGCUUCAAAAAUGAAUGGAAAUUAAUUUCGUUAUCAACUAUCAAUCCAGAAAAAGUUUCAUCCUUUUUUUCCCAUCUGAGUUUCUU